ensembl:rRNA 5S_rRNA 5S ribosomal RNA
UCAGGCAGCAAGCUUUCUGCAACUCUCACACGUUUGCCCACUGAAGCUAAGCAGGGCUGUGUCCAGUCAGUACCUGGAUGGGAGACCAGUUGGGAAAGCUAGCAUGCUGCUGGAC